rnacentral:misc_RNA from 1 species
GUAUAAACUGUGUAAGAUGCUACAAUUUAAAGGAUAAAUAAAGAAACAGAUAACUAGCAAAGAAACAGAUAACUAACAAACAUCCAUCUUAUUCCUGCAAUCUCUCAUUGAAUGUGAGACUUAGAAAGUUCUCUACAUGCUCACAAGCAGGUUCACACAACCCAAUACUACAAUCAAAAUAAGUAAAUAAAUUAAACUGCUAGCCUACAGAAAUGAAUGUCAAGAAUAACUUCUUGGAUUUGAAUAACUAAAUCAAUAUUGGAGCACAUAUGACACACCCAGAAUAACUCCCAGAAUUUGAAAAUGACCUGCUGUUUCGAGAAGGUGAACCUCGAGGGGAUGAUGAAGAUGAACGAUCAGCUGAAUGGGGAGAUUUAGAAGACCUGCAGGAGUUUGGAUCAUUAGUUGACAGACUUCCAUGAUUCCAUGUCUUACAGAAACAAUGGACACUUGUGUGCUUACCAAAAAAAUAACAUCACUGAAAAUUUUUUUUAAAAAAAAUCAUAUAUCACAAGAAGUAAAGGCUAACGUAUGAUUGUGUAUUGACAAGAAAAACUUUUCAAGACUAAUUUUGGAUUUCGUUCUGCAAAAUAAUUUGUAGCAGCUGGAACAGCAUGUCCUUUUUGACUUUAAUUACUUCAUGAAUGACAAAUUUUGGCAGUAUUUUAUAUUAGUGUUUUAUGCAGGAAGAUAUAGUAUACUAUUGUUCUCAGAGGUGAUGCAAUUGAUUGAGUUCUGUCUAGGCUGGUUUGCCUAUGCCAUGCAGAUCAAUUGUUUCCAUUUUCUAAAGGGAUUGCAUGGGUGAACAUAUUCAGACCACUCUUAUUUAUGAAGGAUAUCAAUCAAAGGCGUGAUCCAGGGAAACAAACUCAAGGCUCCAGAGGGUCCUGUGGAGUGUAGAAGUAUACGCUGGCCCAAUCUGGGUAUAGUGAAGAGCUGGCACAUGAAAUUGUCAACUAAAUUGUUAAAACAGUACCAUAAGCCUAGACCAAAUUCAAAUUAGACUACUCAAAUUUAACUGCAAAGAGAAAUAGAGAAUUUCUCACAGAAGGGAGAACAUCCUGAUCUACUGACCAAUAAAACGCCAAAAUUGUACUACUGAAGCUAUUGUUAGUGUAAAUAAAGCUCACAUUCCCAACCAAAAAAACAAUAUAACCAAUUCCAUGUUAGGAUAGGUGAUUACAUACUUGUGAUCUGCAGAGCAUCCAAUUAUAUUGCCAUGCAGCAGUAUUCCUAGCUGCA